CCUCAAUGCACCUUGACUUGACCCUUUUAUUAGGACUUCUUGCCUUGGUGUUGGGAGACCCAAAAUAUAAUUGGGUAGGGCCUUUUAGGCACAUACCAUUACACUAGCCCCUAUACCCUUGGUCACGUAGUGAGUAAUAGGUCUAAGAUUGUUGAAGUGAAAAGUUUUGAAUUUUUAUCUGAUGUGGAAAAAGUUGUUUUUUUUUACAAUGUGGUUUUGUCAAUCUUGAUGUGGGAACUCAUUUGAAUGCAGUAACCCCUAGCCUUCAUAAACUUAUAGCUAAGAGAUGAUGUGGAAGUCUAAAGGGUUUUUGAAGCAACAUCUCAAGGGUUACAUCCCUUUGAUUCAUGAGUGUUUCAAUGCGUGUAUCCAUUGUGACAUUUGACUGACGUAACGAUGGGAUCGUUUCCUUUAGGAGGUUUGAUCUGAAUUUUUGGAUUUAAUGGUGUUAGAUCUUAUUGUUCGAUCGUAAUUGAGUACCUCCAAAUUGUUUCCAAUCGUUGUUUCGUGUUCCCCUCCAAUUUAAAUAUAUACUUUUGAGGUUUCCUUUUUUGCGCAUUUAUUCCACCACGUUAUCCCUAACUCUGGUUCUCUAAGAUUCUCGUGCUUUCAAUUAUUUUUUCCUUCAAAUAUUUCUUUCCUGUUCUCAUAUUGGGUAUAUUCUCAUUUCUUUUAC
rnacentral:lncRNA from 1 species